rnacentral:rRNA from 1 species
UACGGGGGGGGCAAGCGUUGUUCGGAAUUACUGGGCGUAAAGGGCUCGUAGGCGGCCAACUAAGUCGGACGUGAAAUCCCUCGGCUUAACCGGGGAACUGCGUCCGAUACUGGAUGGCUUGAGUGUGGGAGAGGGAUGCGGAAUUCCAGGUGUAGCGGUGAAAUGCGUAGAUAUCUGGAGGAACACCGGUGGCGAAGGCGGCAUCCUGGACUACUACUGACGCUGAGGGAGCGAAAGCCAGGGGAGCAAAGCGGG